UGUUCUUAACUGACUUGCCUAGUUAAAUAAAGGUAAAAUAAAAUAAAUAAAAAAUCCUAUUAGCGCUCUGAGAUACAUUGGAAUAGAAAUGGUCAAGAUGUCAUGCAACGGAGAGGACAUUGAGAGGAAACUACUAAGGGAAUCUUUCUGGAUCCACAGGCUCAACACACUGUCUCCUCUUGGCCUUAAUGAGGAGUUUGACUUUAAACUUUCUUUAGCUCUAAAAAUGUACAAACUACUGUUUUUACCUUAAUUGAAUAGUGAAGUGAUGUCACUGAGCACUGUUCCUAUAUAUAGGACCUCCCACCCCCACCUGGGAUAUGGAUGCCUGAUGAAGACCUAAGGGUCGAAACGUUGUAACAAUACAAUCACCUGGGAGCAUGAACAGCAGUGUGCGGCGCUUUUGUUUUUCAUGUAUUUACAUCCUGUCAAGACUUUCCUCAGUUUCUUUCCAGUUGUAUGCAUCCAAGUUAAAAAACCACACACAAAUCCAACUUUACCAUGUCCAACCACAAGCCCUCAA